rnacentral:rRNA from 1 species
AUUGAACGCUGGCGGCAGGCCUAACACAUGCAAGUCGAGCGGAGCGGCGGACGGGUGAGUAAUGCCUAGGAAUCUGUCUGGUCGUGGGGGAUAACGUCCGGAAACGGGCGCUAAUACUGCAUACUAUCAGAUGAGCCUAGGUCGGAUUAGCUAGUAGGUGGGGUAAAGGCCUAACAAGGCGACGAUCCGUAACUGGUCUGAGAGGAUGAUCAGUCACACUGGAACGGAGACACGGUCCAAGCUCAUCCGGGAGGCAGCAGUGGGGAAUAUUGGACAAUGGGCGGGAGACUGAUCAAACCAUGCCGAGUGUGUGAAGAAGGUAUUCGGAUUGUAAAGCGCUUUAAGUUGGGAGGCGUUACCAACAGAAUAAGCACCGGCUAACUUCGUGCCAGCAGCCGCGGUAAUUC